GAUGAACGCUGGCGGCGUGCCUAAUACAUGCAAGUCGAGCGAACAGACGAGGAGUUUGCUCCUCUGACGUUAGCGGCGGACGGGUGAGUAACACGUGGAUAACCUACCUAUAAGACUGGGAUAACUUCGGGAAACCGGAGCUAAUACCGGAUAAUAUAUUAAACCGCAUGGUUCAAUAGUGAAAGACGGUUUUGCUGUCACUUAUAGAUGGAUCCGCGCCGCAUUAGCUAGUUGGUAAGGUAACGGCUUACCAAGGCAACGAUGCGUAGCCGACCUGAGAGGGUGAUCGGCCACACUGGAACUGAGACACGGUCCAGACUCCUACGGGAGGCAGCAGUAGGGAAUCUUCCGCAAUGGGCGAAAGCCUGACGGAGCAACGCCGCGUGAGUGAUGAAGGUCUUCGGAUCGUAAAACUCUGUUAUUAGGGAAGAACAAAUGUGUAAGUAACUAUGCACGUCUUGACGGUACCUAAUCAGAAAGCCACGGCUAACUACGUG
rnacentral:rRNA from 1 species